rnacentral:rRNA from 1 species
GAGUUUGAUCCUGGCUCAGGAUGAACGCUGGCGGCGUGCUUAACACAUGCAAGUCGAGCGAAGCGGAUCUUCGGAAGUUUUCGGAUGGAAGAGGAUUUGACUUAGCGGCGGACGGGUGAGUAACGCGUGGGUAACCUGCCUUACACUGGGGGAUAACAGUUAGAAAUGACUGCUAAUACCGCAUAAGCGCACAGGGCCGCAUGGCCCGGUGUGAAAAACUCCGGUGGUGUAAGAUGGACCCGCGUCUGAUUAGGUAGUUGGCGGGGUAACGGCCCACCAAGCCGACGAUCAGUAGCCGACCUGAGAGGGCGACCGGCCACAUUGGGACUGAGACACGGCCCAAACUCCUACGGGAGGCAGCAGUGGGGAAUAUUGGACAAUGGGCGAAAGCCUGAUCCAGCGACGCCGCGUGAGCGAAGAAGUAUUUCGGUAUGUAAAGCUCUAUCAGCAGGGGAGAAAAUGACGGUACCUGACUA